UGCUGCUCCCGGGGGACCCGCCCACGCCCCGCCUUCGGGGAACGCCACUCCAGGGGCGGGGGCUCCGAGAGACGUCUGGGCCCGCGCCCCCGGGUCAGACUGAGGUGAGAAGGGCGUUGGCACUCUCCCCUUGCCUUCCAAACCGGAGACCAUCUGAUCCGUGGUGAGACAAAGCUCUCCUGGAGUUUUGUCAUCAGAGACACCCUGGCCCAGACCAGUGCUGACCGCUCCAAGGAAUCCUUUAAUACCGACCCUUCUCGCGGAACCUGGAGGCCCCAUGUUCCUUCCAUGGGAUCCGUCCCAGGCACAAGGACACAAGAGAUGAAUCAGACCCAGCCUCUGGCCUUGAGAAGCUCCCAGCCUUCUGGGGAGGUGGCCAGAUGCUGUCGUGAGCCUGGGGACAAAUAUGUGCCACAGACAUCGCUCUCCUUAUUUGACCAGGGGAAUCCCAAUCUAGCCACAGGAAAAUCUGUGUGUGGUG